GUCUCUGGAGUCGACGCAGUUGACCGAGCAAUUCUUUCGCCUUUUACUAAAGAAUUCCGUGCGUCGACUCGCUUUAUGAGUUAACUCAAUUUUUGGAGUCCCGACCGCAAGGAAGGGAU
rfam:Steinernema glaseri strain NC unplaced genomic scaffold GLAS_5751, whole genome shotgun sequence.